rnacentral:rRNA from 1 species
UAGCAAUACUCGAGAGUGGCGAACGGGUGAGUAAUAUAUCGGAACGUGCCCAGUCGUGGGGGAUAACGUAGAGAAAUUUACGCUAAUACCGCAUACGAUCUAAGGAUGAAAGCGGGGGAUUCGCAAGAACCUCGCGCGAUUGGAGCGGCUGAUAUCAGAUUAGGUUGUUGGUGAGGUAAAAGCUCACCAAGCCGACGAUCUGUAGCUGGUUUGAGAGAACGACCAGCCACACUGGGACUGAGACACGGCCCAGACUCCUACGGGAGGCAGCAGUGGGGAAUUUUGGACAAUGGGCGAAAGCCUGAUCCAGCAAUGCCGCGUGCAGGAAGAAGGCCUUCGGGUUGUAAACUGCUUUUGUACGGAACGAAAAGGCUCUUUCUAAUAAAGAGGGCCCAUGACGGUACCGUAAGAAUAAGCACCGGCUAACUACGUGCCAGCAGCCGCGGUAAUACGUAGGGUGCGAGCGUUAAUCGGAAUUACUGGGCGUAAAGCGUGCGCAGGCGGUUCUAUAAGACAGAUGUGAAAUCCCCGGGCUCAACCUGGGAAUGGCAUUUGUGACUGUAGAGCUAGAGUACGGUAGAGGGGGAUGGAAUUCCGCGUGUAGCAGUGAAAUGCGUAGAUAUGCGGAGGAACACCGAUGGCGAAGGCAAUCCCCUGGA